rnacentral:rRNA from 1 species
UACGAAGGGGGCUAGCGUUGCUCGGAAUCACUGGGCGUAAAGCGCACGUAGGCGGAUUGUUAAGUCAGGGGUGAAAUCCUGGAGCUCAACUCCAGAACUGCCUUUGAUACUGGCGAUCUCGAGUCCGGGAGAGGUGAGUGGAACUGCGAGUGUAGAGGUGAAAUUCGUAGAUAUUCGCAAGAACACCAGUGGCGAAGGCGGCUCACUGGCCCGGUACUGACGCUGAGGUGCGAA